rnacentral:rRNA from 1 species
AUGCACGCUGGCGGCGUGCCUAAUACAUACCAGUCGAGCGAACGGACGAGAAGCUUGCUUCUCUGAUGUUAGCGGCGGACGGGUGAGUAACACGUGGAUAACCUACCUAUAAGACUGGGAUAACUUCGGGAAACCGGAGCUAAUACCGGAUAAUAUUUUGAACCGCAUGGUUCAAAAGUGAAAGACGGUCUUGCUGUCACUUAUAGAUGGAUCCGCGCUGCAUUAGCUAGUUGGUAAGGUAACGGCUUACCAAGGCAACGAUGCAUAGCCGACCUGAGAGGGUGAUCGGCCACACUGGAACUGAGACACGGUCCAGACUCCUACGGGAGGCAGCAGUAGGGAAUCUUCCGCAAUGGGCGAAAGCCUGACGGAGCAACGCCGCGUGAGUGAUGAAGGUCUUCGGAUCGUAAAACUCUGUUAUUAGGGAAGAACAUAUGUGUAAGUAACUGUGCACAUCUUGACGGUACCUAAUCAGAAAGCCACGGCUAACUACGUG